rnacentral:lncRNA from 1 species
CCGCCACCGCCAUGGGUUCACGUUCACUCACGCCCCUAUAACCUUAGGGUUUACCAACCUAGGGUCUCUUAGGUCAUCCUAGACUCUCUCUUUACUUGCUCUUGCGCUCUGAUACCACUUUAUCUGUCAUGCCCGAGACCGUUACCAAUUUGGUCCGGCCCCGGCGCGUCGAACAGACGUCGAACGGACAGGACCUCCCCUGCCCACCCAAGGCUAACCACUGAUCAUGUAUAAGAAUUUACCCAGGAGUCAAUUCAUAGAUACACGAUCACAAGGAGCACCACCAGUGCUAACAAACGAGAGCAAGGUACAAGUAUGAAACAUACAAGUAGAUAAAGAGAGAAGAUUCUAUCUAUUACAUUCAUUCAACUUAAUACAUUUAGUUCCAUCUUUUACAUUCUUCCAAAAUAUAAAUACAAGCACUCAAGCCUCACCCUAUACAACAUCUACUC